CCUACGGGCGGCAGCAGUGAGGAAUAUUGGUCAAUGGGCGCGAACCUGAACCAGCCAAGUAGCGUGCAGGAUGACUGCCCUACGGGUUGUAAACCUCUUUUAUAAAGGAAUAACGUCAUCCACGUGUGCCUUUUUGUAUGUACUUUAUGAAUAAGGAUCGGCUAAUUCCGUGCCAGCAGCCGCGGUAAUACGGAGGAUCCGAGCGUUAUCCGGAUUUAUUGGGGUUAAAGGGAGCUUAGACGGGUUGUUAAGUCAGUUGUGAAAGUUUGCGGCUCAACCGUAAAAUUGCAAUUGAUACUGGCAGUCUUGAGUACAGUUGAGGUAGGCGGAAUUCGUGGUGUAGCGGUGAAAUGCUUAGAUAUCACGAAGAACUCCGAUUGCGAAGGCAGCUUACUAAACUGCCACUGACAUUGAUGCUCGAAAGUGUGGGUAUCAAACAGGAUUAGAUACCCUUGUAGUC
rnacentral:rRNA from 1 species